rnacentral:tRNA from 1 species
GGAGAGGUCGCAUAGUGGCCUAGUGCGGUCGUCUCGAAAACGACUGAAGGUGCUGAGCCUUCCGUGGGUUCGAAUCCCACCCUCUCCG